rnacentral:rRNA from 1 species
GUCCGAAAACGACUCUCGGCAACGGAUAUCUCGGCUCUUGCAUCGAUGAAGAACGUAGCGAAAUGCGAUACUUGGUGUGAAUUGCAGAAUCCCGUGAACCAUCGAGUCUUUGAACGCAAGUUGCGCCCGAAGCCAUUAGGCCAAGGGCACGCCUGCCUGGGUGUCACUAA